UGUGGCAGCUCUGCUGAGAAGAGAAUGGGC
rnacentral:piRNA from 1 species